GGGAGGAGGACUAUGAGGACCAAAAACUAAAAAGUAGAAGGUACAUAGUGAUGAAGGAAAUAAUCACAAGCAAAUGAAAAUCUUCCUUAGUUAAUCAUAAGCAAACAGCUCAUAGAGUUUUAUAGCCUUUGCUAGUGAACUAGUUGUAAUUGAUCAAACUCUAAAAAGGACAACUUAAAUUAGAAUCAAAUACUCAAUAACUUAUGCAAGAUCCA
rnacentral:misc_RNA from 1 species